ACGACGUUCCUUCGUUUCCUUGUUUUCGAGAUUCUCAUGAUGUGUAUGGGUCGUUCGAUAGUUGGGUUCUGACGAACGGGGUUCUAUUCAUCGGAUUGCCAAAAGUUGGAUGUGUCCUCCGCUCAUAAAGUUGUGUGAGUGUUGCCUGUCCGAUUGUGCAGCAUUCUGGAAGUUGUUGAGUUCAUUUUUGCUGAUCCUUGGAUCGAUGCUAAAGUCGGCGCAUGCUUGAUCAGGUGGUUUUGAUUGCUUUUGUGUGUUUCGUUGUGAUGUUAGAAUUCCGAAUGUUAUUUGGUUUCUGGGAUUGCGAAAGUUCUGGAAGUGGGACAUCUUGUGCUUCCGUUGUUCGUUUGAGUAUGAUAGUGUAGCUCUGUUUCUAGGUAUGGGAAUGGGAGUUUCGUUGUCUUGGAAAGAGCUCUUAAGGGUUGAAAUCCUCGGUGUGGUUGAGGUCGCCGUGUUCUCUCACGAGAGCAACGGUGGAGCCGUUAUGUUCUAUAAAUUGCGGGAUUAGCACUUCUUUCAGUUAGUUAGUACAAUUCUUCAGCUAUGUCGUUUUCUUUCUUCAAACAGUUGAAGCCCAAGACACCCGCCGAGCUAGUGCGGCAGGUGAAAGAAUCGUUGUCGUCACUUGACACGAAGACAAUGGGCGACACACGACUCCUGGAGAAAUCGAUGGAGGAGGUGGACAAGAAUCUCAAGGCGAUGAAGGAUCUGCUUUUGGGGGAUAGCGAUACGGAGCCCAAUGCUGAGGUUGUUGCCGAGGUCAUUCAGGAGAUAUGCAAGAUUGAUGUCCUAGAGCUCAUUGUGCAGAAGAUUCCGACAAUGGAUUGGGAAGCGCGCAAGGAUUGCGUACACAUUUGGGGUGCAGUGUUGAGGCAGAAAGUCGGUGCUACACAAUGCGGACUUGAGUAUCUGGAAAGUCACACCGAGCUCCUGGACUACCUAGUUUUGUGCUACGAAAACAAAGAAGUUGCUCUGAAUUGUGGUACUAUGCUGCGGGAGUGCGCCAGGUAUGUGACCCUGGCGAAAUACAUGCUGGAGUCUGUGAGCUUCGAGAUGUUUUUCAAGUUUGUGGAGACUCCUAACUUCGAUGUCGCAUCAGACGCCUUCGCUACAUUCAAGGAGCUCCUUACCAGACAUAAUCCAGUGGUGGUGGCAUAUUUGUCCUCUCGCUACGCUUCUUUCUUCGCCAACUUCGACAAAUUGCUUCGGUCUACGAAUUAUGUUACGAGGCGGCAAUCUUUAAAGCUUCUCAGCGACAUUUUGUUGGAGCGCUCAAACUCCGCAAUUAUGAUGCUAUACAUUUCUGAUGUUCGAAACCUGCGAGUGAUGAUGACAUUGAUAACAGAUCCUAGCAAAAACAUCCAGGCAUCUGCGUUCCACGUAUUCAAAGUUUUCGUUGCAAAUCCACAGAAACCGCCUCAGAUCGUCAGUAUACUCGCCAAGAACCGUGAGAAGCUGCUGAGGUUUCUGGACAAUUUCCAUAUUGACAAAGAAGAUGAGCAGUUUGAUGAGGAGAAAGAGCUUCUGGUGAAGGAGAUCGAGGGAUUAUCGUCUUUGAAUCUUCGAAGUCGUUAGCUGCUUGGCAGUCAAUCAGCGAUUGAAGUGAAAUCCUCCCAGGGUUUUAGGCUUUUGUGUCUUAGCCCUAAAGUUCUGGUUUCUGAUUUUAUUACUAUUAUCAUUAUUAUUAACCUCGAGGGGGUUGCAAGGUUAACUCUCGAUUCCAUUUUUGAUGUUACUGACCCCUUUUCCAAAACCAUAGAUCUUCAUUGUUCCUUGGGGGUUGCUUUUGCAUUGACUCGGAUGCAGGUUGUUAAAUCACCAAGAAGCAAGCAUGUACGUUGGCUUUAUUGAGCAGCUGGUACUGGUUAAUGAUAUUGUACAUAUAGAGCACAAGGACGAUACCAGGUGCGAUUUAUAGAAAUUCAAAUUUAGCAUCUUUUCUUGACUAAA